GGGGAUGACCGGAAUUGACAGCUUGUGCAGAUUGCGUGUAAGCAUGUCGGGUGAUGAACGUACCACCUGUUAAAAAUUCGUUCGAACAAUAACUGGCGAAUCUAAUUACGCCAUGGCUGCUUAGUCUAGGUAUUAAGCAAUUGCCAUAGUCUCGUGCAGGUUUCGUAGAUCUGCUUGCACACCAGAGGCUUCGAUCCGAUUUACUAGUUUGUGUAAGGGUGCGGUACACAGGCGAAAUAAAGCAUCUAAGGAGGGCGCAUUAGUUUGGUUUAUACUAGCAAACUCCCGACAACCCGAAUAAACCUAAGCAUGUAGAAAGCCCGUUGAUUUCCUUGUCUGGACCAGGGUUCGAAUCCCUGCAUCUCCACUU
rfam:Pontibacter sp. S10-8 contig_10, whole genome shotgun sequence.